rnacentral:rRNA from 1 species
GUGGGGAAUUUUGCGCAAUGCUCGUAAGAGUGACGCAGCGACGCCGCGUGAAUGACGAAGGCCUUCGGGUCGUAAAGUUCUUUCGACAGGGAAGAAAAUGCCUAUAAGUAACUGUGUAUGUAUUGACGGUACCUGUAUAAGCAGCCCCGGCUAACUCCGUGCCAGCAGCCGCGGUAAUACGGAGGGGGCGAGCGUUGUUCGGAGUGACUGGGCGUAAAGAGCACGUAGGCGGUGUUGUAAGUCAUUAGUCAAAGACUAGAGCUCAACUUUAGUAAGGCUAGUGAUACUAUAAUACUAGAGUAUCAGAGAGGAUUGCAGAAUUCCUGGUGUAGCGGUGAAAUGCGUAGAUAUCAGGAGGAAUACCGUUAGCGAAGGCGGCAAUCUGGCUGGAAACUGACGCUGAGGUGCGAAAGCGUGGGUAGCAAACAGGA